CUGCUUAGGCUGCUGCCCCCGCGACCCGACCUCAGAUAAGCGGAAGAAGAUGGAUGGAAGGAUGUUUAUAAUUGCUUUAUGAAGAGAACCACGGUCUGGCCAGUUCAGAACAAGAAUUAAUUAAUGCAAAAUAAUACAUUAAAAUGUAACAAUCUAUUAUUGCUGACAUUUAAAGCCAAUUUUCAUAUUAAAGUUGGUGAGAGUGCUUUACAAAAUAGCUAAGUAAUUAAUAAGUGAUUUAAAAUAGUAUACUAUUUAAUGUUUGGAAAUAUAAGAUUUAUUUUAUAGCUGGAAAUCUGUCGAUGCAUCUAAAACAACUUUUGAUUCAUAAUUUCAUAUUUUGCUGGCUGACCACGUCUUCCUGUCCUCCACUUUUUCGGGCCUGCCCGCCACAGCGCAAGCGCGAAGAUGUGACCACGUGACACAACCAGGAAGUGUUGCGGAGGCGAGACCGCGACAAAUCUCGUCGUUCUCUCGCCGCAGCGGGAGGACUCCGGCCGCGGCCCACGCGUGGGCUGGGUCCGUCCGGGGGCCCAGGCGUGGGCUGGGUCCGUGGAAGGAUGCAGCCGCCGAAGUUGGACACGGCUGCUAUUUCGCUUGUCUCGUAACGAACAGCUGUGGUCGGCGCAUACGUUAAACGUCACACAUCGCCAUGAAUGCUUUGUUUUCCAUGCGGGAAGCUGGCGUAAGGUCAAGAAUCAACCGGCGACAAGUGAAGAGAGUCAGCGUCCUCGCUAAGUGCAGUGUGGCUGAUGGCUGGCCGGCUGCUCAAGCUGUCCUCUUUGGCCACGGCGGUCUUUGCCUCUUCUGGACUUUACAUCUACAACACACAACUGGAUCUCAAUGACCUGAGUUUGAUUCGCUUCGGACGAGCUGCUGCUGUUACGACUGUCAUCAGCUAUGACUACCUCACUGCUUUCAGACACAUGGAAUAUGGCACAGAGGAGUAUUGGGCCCUCAAGUCCAAGGUACAUCGGCGUUCAGCAGAGCGUCUUCGAGAUCUGUGCUGUGCCAACCGGGGAACCUUCAUCAAGGUCGGCCAGCAUCUGGGCGCUCUGGACUACCUCCUUCCAGAGGAGUACACCGCCACGCUCAAGGUCCUCCACAGCCAGGCUCCUCAGAGCAGCAAGGAAGAGAUCCAGCAGGUCAUCCGAGAGGACCUCGGCAAGGAGCUGUCAGAGUUAUUUGUUUGCUUUGAUGAGAAGCCUCAGGGAGCCGCCUCCCUAGCCCAGGUCCAUAAAGCAGUACUGCAUGAUGGGAGGACCGUGGCUGUAAAGGUCCAACACCCCAAAGUCCAAAGACAAAGCUCCAAAGAUAUAUUGGUGAUGGAGGUGUUGCUCAGAGCUGUCCACUGGCUCUUUCCAGAUUUUGCCUUCAUGUGGUUGGUGGAAGAAGCCAAGAAAAACAUGCCUCUGGAGCUGGACUUCCUUAACGAAGGACACAACUCCGAGAUUGUGUCAAACAUGCUGGCCCACUUCCCCUUUCUGAAGGUUCCUGUGAUCCACUGGGACUUGUCCACCAAGAGGAUUCUCACCAUGGAGUUUGCUGAGGGAGGUCAGGUCAACGACAGAGAGUACAUGAAAGCACAUGGCAUCGACGUCAACGAGAUUUCAGAAAAGCUGGGGAAAAUAUACAGUGAAAUGGUCUUCCUCCAGGGCUUUGUCCACUGUGACCCCCACCCUGGAAACGUGCUGGUCCGAAAAUGCCCCAAAACGAAGAAGGCUGAGAUUGUUCUUCUCGACCACGGCCUUUAUCAGGUGCUACAGCCAGACUUCCGGAUGAACUACUGUCGCCUUUGGCAGGCUCUUAUUCGUCGAGACAUGACUGGUGUGGAGCGUUACAGUCGCAAACUGGGAGCUGGAGAUCUCUAUCCUCUGUUUGCUUGUAUACUCACUGCCCGUUCCUGGACCGCCGUCAAUUCUGGCAUCAGCUCUGUGCCCGUCACAUCGUCUGAGGAUGUUGAGAUUCGGACCAACGCCGCCUUGUACCUGCCUCAGAUCAGCCACCUGCUGAACCGACUUCCUCGCCAGAUGUUGCUGCUGUUGAAGACCAACGACCUGCUGAGGGGGAUAGAGACCACCUUACACACCAGAGCAUCCUCGUCCUCUUUCAUCAACAUGUCACGCUGCUGCAUACGAGCCCUGGCCAGACACAAGAGGAGUAAGACUCAGUCCCGGAGGAAACGUCUGCAGAUCACCUUGACGGAGUCCUUCAACCUCUGGCGACUCAGCGUCUACCAAUUGUUCCUGUGGUUGAAGAGCUCAGUGUUGGGACGAGGCCUCUGGACUCUGCAUGGACUCCUACACUGACACAAAAAGUACUGAAGACAGCCAGAGGGGGCACUGAAGACCGAGGAGGUUCCCGUGACAUGCCAUCAUCACUCACCCAUGACAUGCCAUCAUCACUCACCCAUGACAUGCCAUCAUCACUCACCAAUGACAUGCCAUCAUCACUCACCCAUGACAUGCCAUCAUCACUCACCCAUGACAUGCCAUCAUCACUCACCCAUGACAUGCCAUCAUCACUCACCCUCUCUCAGACGUACCCCGCCAGACUGCAGGCGGGGCGUCCAGUGGAGCAGGGUGGGUAAGUGUGGGUGUGUCAGGUGGGAGAGAUGUCUGCUGGAGAGGAGGAACACUCUGAGGAGGACCAACAGGCUGCAGCUGCAGGACAUGAUGGAGGAUGUGGUGGUGUUAGCACCUUCAACAUCACCUUUGAUGUCCUGCUAAAUAACUCACACUGUUCACCUUCUUUUUAGCUACUUCUUGUUACUGUUCACUUCUUGUUACUGUUCACUUCUUGUUACUGUUCACUACAACUUGUUACUGUUCACUUCUUGUUACUGUUCACUACUACUUGUUACUGUUCACUUCUUGUUACUGUUCACUACUACUUGUUAC